rnacentral:rRNA from 1 species
GGGUCAGUAGGUUGGUCGUGCCACCGGUACGUACUGGUCUCACUGAUUCCUCCUUCCUGAAGAACCGUAAUGCCAUUAAUUUGGUGUUGCGGGGAAACAGGACUGUUACUUUGAAAAAAUUAGAGUGUUUAAAGCAAGCUAACGCUUGAAUACAUUAGCAUGGAAUAAUGAAAUAGGACGAUCGAUCCUAUUUUGUUGGCUUCUAGGAUUAACGUA